rnacentral:rRNA from 1 species
AGGACGAACGCUGGCGGCGUGCUUAACACAUGCAAGUGGAGCGACGAACCAGGGCUUGCCCUGGGGCAGAGCCGCGAACGGGUGAGUAACACGUGGGUAAACCUACCCCGAUGAUUGGGACAACCCGAGGAAACUCGGGCUAAUACCAAAUGUGCUGUGGACCCGUAGGGGUGCACAGGAAAGGAAGCUUCGGCCUCCGCAUCGGGAUGGGCCCGCGGCCCAUUAGUUUGUUGGUGGGGUAAAGGCCUACCAAGACUUCGAUGGGUAGCUGGUCUGAGAGGACGAUCAGCCACACUGGGACUGAGACACGGCCCAGACUCCUACGGGAGGCAGCAGUGGGGGAAUCUUGCGCAAUGGGCGGAAGCCUGACGCAGCGACGCCGCGUGCGGGAUGAAGGCCUUCGGGUUGUAAACCGCUUUCACCAGGGACGAAGCGAGAGUGACGGUACCUGGGGAAGAGCGCCGGCUAACUACGCGCCAGCAGCCGCGGUAA